rnacentral:piRNA from 1 species
UGUCUACUCGUUCAUGUGCCAACACUC